rnacentral:lncRNA from 1 species
CGGUUUUGUAUAUCCCAAAAAUAUCGAAUUGAAUUCGAUUCAAAAUAAUAAAAUAUUGGAUUGGUACCAAUUUUCUUAGAUCUGAAAUAUCUAAUAUUCCGAAAUAUCUGAUCUGAAUCCAACCCGAUCUUAUACCCAACAUUAGAUCUUCCAUCAGUUACAGAAAAAAAAAACACUAUUGAUCUUUUAUCAGUUACAUUAAUCUCCGACCUUUUUCAAAAUCAGUAUAAUGAUGUACAGCCCGGAUAAGCUCUUUCUUUCUUAUUCUCCUCAUUCA